AGGGGCGGAGUUAUUGACAACGAGAGAGCACGAGACAUAUAAGAAUUCAGAGAGGUGACACAUUACCUGAGCUGCAGCAGUGCAACAAGUGUUACAGCAAUUACCAGCAAUUUUCUGCUUGACCAGCAUGUUUAAGCCAGCCAAACUGGUCAAAU